rnacentral:rRNA from 1 species
GCUUGCUCUGGUGGCGAGUGGCGAACGGGUGAGUAAUAUAUCGGAACGUACCCUAGAGUGGGGGAUAACGUAGCGAAAGUUACGCUAAUACCGCAUACGAUCUAAGGAUGAAAGUGGGGGAUCGCAAGACCUCAUGCUCGUGGAGCGGCCGAUAUCUGAUUAGCUAGUUGGUAGGGUAAAAGCCUACCAAGGCAUCGAUCAGUAGCUGGUCUGAGAGGACGACCAGCCACACUGGAACUGAGACACGGUCCAGACUCCUACGGGAGGCAGCAGUGGGGAAUUUUGGACAAUGGGCGAAAGCCUGAUCCAGCAAUGCCGCGUGAGUGAAGAAGGCCUUCGGGUUGUAAAGCUCUUUUGUCAGGGAAGAAACGGUGAGAGCUAAUAUCUCUUGCUAAUGACGGUACCUGAAGAAUAAGCACCGGCUAACUACGUGCCAGCAGCCGCGGUAAUACGUAGGGUGCAAGCGUUAAUCGGAAUUACUGGGCGUAAAGCGUGCGCAGGCGGUUUUGUAAGUCUGAUGUGAAAUCCCCGGGCUCAACCUGGGAAUUGCAUUGGAGACUGCAAGGCUAGAAUCUGGCAGAGGGGGGUAGAAUUCCACGUGUAGCAGUGAAAUGCGUAGAUAUGUGGAGGAACACCGAUGGCGAAGGCAGCCCCCUGGGUCAAGAUUGACGCUCAUGCACGAAAGCGUGGGGAGCAAACAGGAUUAGAUACCCUGGUAGUCCACGCCCUAAACGAUGUCUACUAGUUGUCGGGUCUUAAUUGACUUGGUAACGCAGCUAACGCGUGAAGUAGACCGCC